UAGCCAUGCGAGUUAAAUGUUCUUCGUGAACAUAGCAGACUGCUCAGUAACACGUGGAUAACCUGCCCUUAGGACUGGCAUAACCCCGGGAAACUGGGGAUAAUUCCGGAUAGAUCAUAAAUGCUGGAAUGCUUUAUGAUUGAAAGGUUUCGACCGCCUUAGGAUGGAUCUGCGGCCUAUCAGGUUGUAGUGGGUGUAAUGUACCUACUAGCCUACGACGGGUACGGGUUGUGGAAGCAAGAGCCCGGAGAUGGAUUCUGAGACAUGAAUCCAGGCCCUACGGGGCGCAGCAGGCGCGAAAACUUUACAAUGCGGGAAACCGUGAUAAGGGAACACUGAGUGCUAGCAUUUAUGUUAGCUGUCCACAUGUGUAAAUAGCAUGUGAUAGCAAGGGCUGGGCAAGACCGGUGCCAGCCGCCGCGGUAACACCGGCAGCCCGAGUGGUGAUCACUAUUAUUGGGUCUAAAGGGUCCGUAGCCGGUUUAAUCAGUCUUCUGGGAAAUCUAAUCGCUUAACUAUUAGGCUUCCAGGGGAUACUGUUAGACUUGGGACCGGGAGAGGUAAGAGGUACUGCAGGGGUAGGAGUGAAAUCUUGUAAUCCCUGUGAGACCACCAGUGGCGAAGGCGUCUUACCAGAACGGGUCCGACGGUGAGGGACGAAAGCUGGGGGCACGAACCGGAUUAGAUACCCGGGUAGUCCCAGCUGUAAACGAUGCUCGUUAGGUGUCAGGAACGGUGCGACUGUUUCUGGUGCCG
rnacentral:rRNA from 1 species